rnacentral:snRNA from 1 species
AUCGCUUCUCGGCCUUUUGGCUAAGAUCAAGUGUAGUAUCGUUUCGGUUAAGAUCAGGAGUUUCGUAUACCUAAA